CCUACGGGAGGCAGCAGUGGGGAAUUUUGGACAAUGGGCGCAAGCCUGAUCCAGCAAUGCCGCGUGAGUGAAGAAGGCCUUCGGGUUGUAAAGCUCUUUUGUCAGGGAAGAAACGGUGGGAGCUAAUAUCUCCCGCUAAUGACGGUACCUGAAGAAUAAGCACCGGCUAACUACGUGCCAGCAGCCGCGGUAAUACGUAGGGUGCAAGCGUUAAUCGGAAUUACUGGGCGUAAAGCGUGCGCAGGCGGUUUUGUAAGUCUGUCGUGAAAGCCCCGGGCUCAACCUGGGAAUUGCGAUGGAGACUGCAAGGCUUGAAUCUGGCAGAGGGGGGUAGAAUUCCACGUGUAGCAGUGAAAUGCGUAGAGAUGUGGAGGAACACCGAUGGCGAAGGCAGCCCCCUGGGUCAAGAUUGACGCUCAUGCACGAAAGCGUGGGGAGCAAACAGGAUUAGAUACCCUGGUAGUCCACGCCCUAAACGAUGUCUACUAGUUGUCGGGUUUUAAUUAACUUGGCAACGCAGCUAACGCGUGAAGUAGACCGCCUGGGGGAGGACGGUCGGUCGAGAAGUUAAACGUAACGUUAAAGAAAGUUAGACGGCGUUGAGACGNGCGACGGACGACGACGAGGGAGGAGG
rnacentral:rRNA from 1 species